rnacentral:rRNA from 1 species
UACGUAGGGUGCGAGCGUUUGUCCGGAAUUAUUGGGCGUAAAGAGCUUGUAGGCGGUUUGUCGCGUCUGCUGUGAAAUCUCAAGGCUCAACCUUGAGCUUGCAGUGGGUACGGGCAGACUAGAGUGUGGUAGGGGAGACUGGAAUUCCUGGUGUAGCGGUGAAAUGCGCAGAUAUCAGGAGGAACACCGAUGGCGAAGGCAGGUCUCUGGGCCACUACUGACGCUGGAGGCGACGGAAAGCGUGGGGAGCGAACGGG